rnacentral:rRNA from 1 species
AUUGAACGCUGGCGGCAGGCCUAACACAUGCAAGUCGAACGGUAACAGGAAGAAGCUUGCUUCUUUGCUGACGAGUGGCGGACGGGUGAGUAAUGUCUGGGAAACUGCCUGAUGGAGGGGGAUAACUACUGGAAACGGUAGCUAAUACCGCAUAACGUCGCAAGACCAAAGAGGGGGACCUUCGGGCCUCUUGCCAUCGGAUGUGCCCAGAUGGGAUUAGCUUGUUGGUGAGGUAACGGCUCACCAAGGCGACGAUCCCUAGCUGGUCUGAGAGGAUGACCAGCCACACUGGAACUGAGACACGGUCCAGACUCCUACGGGAGGCAGCAGUGGGGAAUAUUGCACAAUGGGCGCAAGCCUGAUGCAGCCAUGCCGCGUGUAUGAAGAAGGCCUUCGGGUUGUAAAGUACUUUCAGCGGGGAGGAAGGGAGUAAAGUUAAUACCUUUGCUCAUUGACGUUACCCGCAGAAGAAGCACCGGCUAACUCCGUG